GUUUUGUGCAUGUAGAUAUAUGUAUAUGUAAAAAUAUAUAUGAUUUAAAAUGUAAGGUAUAUAUGUAUACCUUUUUUAAUAAACAUACAAUAUUGUCUUCAUUGUAAAUAGAAAAAAACCCCACAGGUUCCAUGCAGUACAGUUAAUAUUUCUCUAUAGACAUAAAAAAGGAUUGUUGUGACUAGUUUCUAGUCUUGUUAGAUGUUCAUCGGAGAAAGUGUAACCAUGUAUCUAGAAUGAAAUUAGUAGUUUACAGCAAUUUACAAAGAAGGACCCAGCUAAAACUGGCCAAUUACAUUUGCAUAAAAGAGCAUCUGCUGACAAGAUGGAAUAAUUAAUUCAUGCAUUCGUUAAUGAAUGCAUUACACAGGACUUUUGAAGAAUCUGAAUCAUAAGGUAUACUGUUUUUUGGUUUUGGUUUUGGUUUUUAAUAAACAUGUAACAAUAUUCCCACUGUAAUAUAUAUAUAUAUAUAUAUAUGUAUGUAUGAAUUGAAGAUUGGAGUUUGAGGUAUUAUUUUUUUUAAAUAAUAUCCUUAACUUUUAACUUCAAUUUUUAUUUUUCAAAUUUUACAAUGGAAACGGAAUUUGCAUAUUUUCUGUUUAUUUGAAACAGCAGUUUCAUGGGGAGAUAUUCCCCUGUGCAAUUUUCACUUAGCUGCUGUCUGUAGAAGUGCUUCCUAAGGUAAGCGCCUGGAUUAUCCUAUCCCAAAACUGACUCCAAUAUAUAUAAAUAUAUAUUGUAUAUGUAUGUAUAUAAAUGAUGUAUUUAUGUAUAAUAUUAUAUAUAUGUGUGUAUAUAAAUCUUAUAUAUAUGUAAUAUUAUACCAUGUAAGUUGUCUAAAGGUCCUCUUUUUGACAGAUAUACGAGUGUAUGUAAUGUUAUGUAUGCAUGUGGCCUAGUGGUUAGAUUUGUUACAUUCACAAUUAGGAGAUCAUGGUUUCAAUUCCCAUAGCAGCUGUGUAUUGUGUUCUUGAGCAAAACUCUUCAUUUCACGUCACUCCAGUUCACUCAGCUAUAAAUGGUUAAGCCUGUGAUGAAAUAGUUUUCUGAUCAACACACACAUAUGUAGCAAGCUUCUUUCAGUUUCCAUCUACCAUAUCUACUCACAAGCCUUUGGUUUGCUCAGGGUUGUAGUAGAAAAACACUUGUUUAAGAUGUCACAUAGUGGGACUAAACUGGAAACCUUUUCAGCAUCAGAACACUUCAGGCCACCAUUCAGCUCAGAUACGAACAGAUCGUUGAUAUAGGGUAUACCAAUGGCUGUACUGUGGUAUCUCACAUUCCGGAACCCCUUUAAUCUACCGUUUUGGCAGUUAAAAGUUUAUUUUUUAAAAAAUGGCCUGACAGUUAAUAUCUAAGAAAAUUAAGUUUAUCCUUCGAUGGUAUGCUACACUACUCUCACUUCUGUUCACUUUCUUGGUAUAAACAGCAGCAGUUAAUUUGAUAUCCCAGCUUGUAUACCUUAGCAGUGUAAUUUUUAAUGACUGCACACUGACUAAACAAAUUCUAAACUACCUCAGACAGGCCUCUGUAGCCUUUAACCCUUUAGUAUUCACAUUAUUCUACCAAAUGCGAUGCUUGUUUAUUCACAUUGCAUUGAAUUAAUCCUGCAUUAUCUCAUAGCUGUGAGAUUUCUGCGAUGUGACUCUUUACUUUGGGAAUAAUAUUGUAGGAUAGGGUAAGAGGUAAAAUAUUUAGGCCGGAUAUGGCCAGUUUGAAUGCUAAAGGGUUAAAGGAUUCAGAAAGGUUUUUCUAAGUAACCCCCUCUACCGCUAAACCAAAGUUUAUGUCUCUGUUUCUGUUCUCCUGCAUGGGUACAACUAUGGACCAUUUAUUGUCCACAUAUUGGAAGCUUUUAACAUCAAAGCUUUUAACAUCCACUUUCUCCGGAAGAUUCUUUCAAUCUCUUCAUAAGAAAGGAUUAUACACACAAAUCUGCAGUCUGCUGUUUCAGCCACACUGUCUGUCAUUAUAUAUUUAGAUGUUUGUAUGUGUGUAGACAUGUAUAUAUAUAUUGUUGUGUGUAUGUAUAUGUUUGCUUACAUUCGCAAGCUACAAUCGGUUUUGUUGUCUCUUUUGUCAACAAAUUAUCCGUUUGCUUUGCAUCUUUGAAGAUAUGUGAAAGAAGAGAUCCCUGACUUGAAAAUACAGGUAAGGGUUAGCAACAGAAAGAGCACCUGACUUUAAAAACAAUACUUCUAUAGUAUGUUUUGUCUAACCCAUGCCAGCCUGAAAAAACAGAUGUAAGAAAGAAAAAUCCUCUGUUGAACUGGUCCUUGUAGAAGUAAAUCCACACUGAACAGCCAUCAACUGAGAUGGCUUGAACAUGUAGCACAGAUGUCCGAGUUACAUCUCGUCUGUAGGAUUCUCUAUGGCCAGCUACACAAUGGUCAUCACUUGGCUGGAAGAUCAAAGAAGUGGUUCAAAGACCAUCUGAGAUCCAUUUUCAAGAGGAGCAGCAUUAACCCUUCAAAUAGUGUUGCUGUCUACAACUCUUUUUGUUUUCUUACCAAUGGAAGGAUACUAAAGGAAUGGAGGAGAAAUACACUCAGAUCUUGCCAGA